UACGGGGGGGGCAAGCGUUGUUCGGAAUUACUGGGCGUAAAGGGCUCGUAGGCGGCCAACUAAGUCAGACGUGAAAUCCCUCGGCUUAACCGGGGAACUGCGUCUGAUACUGGAUGGCUUGAAUCCGGGGAGAGGGAUGCGGAAUUCCAGGUGUAGCGGUGAAAUGCGUAGAUAUCUGGAGGAACACCGGUGGCGAAGGCGGCAUCCUGGACCGGCAUUGACGCUGAGGAGCGAAAGCCAGGGGAGCAAAGCGGG
rnacentral:rRNA from 1 species